CAAUAGCGUAUAUUUAAGUUGUUGCAGUUAAAAAGCUCGUAGUCGGAUUUUGGCUGAGAACGAUCGGUCCGCCGUUAGGUGUGCACUGAUUGGUCUCAGCUUCCUGGUGAGGAGGUGUGCUUCACGGCCACUUAGUCACCGUGGUUACUUUGAAAAAAUUAGAGUGUUCAAAGCGGGCUUACGCUUGAAUAUAUUAGCAUGGAAUAACACCAUAGGACUCCUGUCCUAUUUCGUUGGUCUCGGGACGGGAGUAAUGAUUAAGAGGAACAGUUGAGGGCAUUCGUAUUUCAUUGUCAGAGGUGAAAUUCUUGGAUUUAUGAAAGACGAACUUCUGCGAAAGCAUUUGCCAAGGAUGUUUUCAUUGA
rnacentral:rRNA from 1 species